UAGUUACGGUCACUGCGCGGAAAACGUCGUCUGGAAAACUCGCACCGCAUCCAUCCGCCCACAGAUGGCGCCCCAUCCGCUCGGCUCAUAUAAGCGAGCGCUCGCGCACCGCCGCACUGCCCGGCCGACUCCCGCGCCACCAACGCGUACCGCGAGUGUAGUGACAUGGAUAUACUCUCCUUGGACCCGACUGGACUUUAUUAAAAAAAAUGGCUGUCCUUGAUCCUACCGGCCAGUACUAAACAUAAUCCUCGACCCCACUGGACAGUAUUAGAGCAUCAUGAUCGGGCUAGACCCCACAGAAAUUUACUAAUCCCCCCAAAAUGUGCUGCGGGCGGCGGAGGAUCUGGACGGGAUCCAGUCCGGAAGAGACAUCGUCGUGCAGAAAAAGAAGGUUUCGGCACUAAGGUCGGAAAUGGGUUCCGUCACCUGCGAAGGAAUGCAGUGUAGAUUUCCCGUCUGCAAGCCGCCCCCGUAUCCAAUACUCACUACGUUUAUAUUACGACUGAUAUACUAUAGUGCACAUAUCCUUCAAGCAUUUUGUAUUUUUAUAUAAAUUAUUGUAGAUAUAUACGUUGUAGAAACCAAUAGGAACAUAACUUUAAAAUGUAAAAUAUAACUAUUAACACCCUUGAUACGUACGUUUUUAAUUAUGUUUUUUUGUUAAUUAAUAAUUUUCUUUUUUCAUUCUUUGAGAGAAAAUAUAAUUUCAUAUCAUUUAAAGAUAAUUUCUUAUUUGUUUUAAAAUUAAACAUAAUCUCAGUAAUAUCUAACUACAUUAAGAAAAUUUCAAGACAAGCAAUAAGAGGCAAAAAGGUUAUUUUUGAAAGGUUUUCUUCGCCCAUUGUACAUUAUUUGAGAGGCCUUCAAAAACCCGUUUUUUAUGUACAGAUUUGUAGUUUUAAUUGUAGUUUUACUAGAUUUCCACUCAAAUGUAUACCUACGUCGUCCUGCAUGAUUGGAGUUACCAUGUAUUUCCGCUUUUAAAAUGUAAAUAAUGCUUUGAAUCCCUAGUGCUUGAAAAUAUAAGCACCCAUUUUGCUCGAAAAAGUACCAAUUUUGAAGAUACUUACCCAUAAGGUAAAAAAAAUUGCAGUUCACAUUUCUGCGAUAUUUUAUCUACUCUGCGAUAUUUUAUCACCUUAUCGACCUUGACAUCGAUUUUCAAAUCAAUUUAUUUUCGAUAUGUUAAUAACAAAACGUUCUUAGUUUAAAAUGUAUUUAACAAUAUUAAUAACUAUUUUCAGGUAUAUUAUAACAUGUAUAACCAAUCCUAUUACUUAUAUGAUUAUUUAGGUACUAUUUUGUGACUGAAAAUGGUAGUUAAUAAGUCACAAGCACGCAUCCAAUUGUUAUAACUACUAGACUUUAAAAUACAUAGAACGUUUUCUUUCGAUCUAACAAUAAACUAUAUACCCCUAACAGUGUCUAUCAAUUAUAGAAAUAUAGUGAGCUUGCUAUGCUUUUAUUAAUUUAUCUUUAUAUUGUAGAUAAUUAAGAUAAGACUGCUUAAAGUUAAUUUGUCUUUUAAGACUGAUGCGAAUUUGAAGAACCAUUUUCGAUACUCGAGAUUUAGCUCUGUUUUAAUUAAAUACUCUGUGUAGCGAUAUUCUCAAGCCUUGCCGAGUGUUGGUAAAUGUAUCAUUUAAAUGACCAGUGUCUGUGAGCUUUUAAUUCGUAUCAAGUGUGCGUAAUCUAAGAGCGCUUUAUAUUGGUUCUAAACGUUAGACGUGCUUGCGUUAGGUUUUGGAAUAACCCGCACAAUGAAUAGAGUACAGUCGAGAACAUUAGAUAAAUCUCAAAUAUUUUUAGAAUUGGUUACUUUGGGCUCAAGAAGAGUAGCGAUAUGGCUGAGGUAUCAAUAUUAAUGUUAUGUAUCUCUUUAAUCUAGUAAUAUUAAUAUAAUUGAAACUAUAUUAUAAGUAAGGUCAGGAGGGCAAAACAUACGUAGUAGUACAUUUUGCAAAGGACAAAAACAACAGUACAGUAGUUACAUUUCAAUGCAAGUGUGGAAAGUGUGUUAUUAAUUACGAGUCCCGAGGCACGGGACAAGUAAUUAAUGACACUUUCAGACGUACAUAUUGAACAACGUUUUUUAAUACAUUUGCGAAAAAAUCACAAUAAAACAAAUAUUGGUUACAUGCAUGAGUAUUACUUACAGUUACGAACUUUCCCUUGAACUUGAAUGAUAUGAUAUGAUAUUGUUUUAUAAGCACUAUAAACAACGUUCAGCGUUGAUUUACAUUGCAAAAAUUAAUCACAUUUUUUUUGUUAACGACAGCCAGCGUGGCAAUGAUAGUUCCGUUCAGCCAAAUAAAAAAAAAUAAAAAAAUUGCCGCCUCUUUCUACUGACAAAGUGGGUUUGCCAGAGUAUUAUUCGCUGAUUUUAUAUUUGUAAACAUUUGAUUUAAGAGUUAGCGAUUAAAGAAGUAUGCGAGUGAUACCGCAGCCAUAUUGCUUGAGUAUGUUUGUAGGCCGCUAUAUCAUUACUAUAUGGCCGAGGAAGUAUCCCACCCUAGCAUAAUAUUAUUUUUAUCAUUAGUUUUGUCGUAAACCUGGUGAGUAAUAAAGAUGUUUUAUAUUAUUUUCUAUAAA